CAUGAAGAUAAAAAUUAUUUAAAAUUAAAAUCGCUUCCUUGUAACAACAGUUGAUAAAAAGCAAAACCGAUUAAUUUUCCAAAAAAAAUCAUUAAUCGUAUUUUGUACAAAAACAAAAUGUCUAUAAAAAUUUUCACAUUUAUUUUAAUACUGUAUUCUGUGAAAGAAUUCAGAUGUCAAGUUCCUUCCAAUACAGAUGACUUUAUGAAUUGUGAAUUUGCAAAAACAUUAAUAAAAUUAGCAAAUAUCUUCGAAAAUAAAACUGAAGAAUCAUUUAUGGAGGCUAAAAAAUUAUUAAAUUCAGAAACAAUUGAUAUUAAAGUUCAAUGUCGAAUGAAUAGAAAUUUAUAUAAUGUGGAUAUAAAACGAAAAGAUUAUGAAAAUACUUUACAAAAAAUGUUAAAAAAAGGUGUCAAUUCACUCUUGGCUAAUGAUGCUAAAGAAUUAUGGUGUAGUAUUGCAUCAUUUUUUCAAGAAAUAUCAAACUGUUAUCCACAUGACUUUUUUUUGGGGAAAUUAUCAAUCCAGAAUAUUAUAUAUAAUAUGAUGUCAAUAAUUACAAAGGAAAUAGUUAACAGGUUUAAUUUCUUCAUAAUUAAUGGUCAACAACUUAAAAAUGCAACUUCUUCUCAUGAAUGCCAAUUGCGUCAAGAUAAAAGAAAACUUUUAUUCUUUCAAGAACUACUAAUGCAAAUGUCACCGAUAAUUGGUACCUGUGGUGACAGUAUCGUACAACGAGAAUGCAUGUUAAAUAAAUUUAAGGAAUUAAAUCCACAUCUAAAGAAACAAUUAAAAGUAAUGAUGAGUCCAAUAGGAUCAGAAAAUUUAUGUAAAGAUCUCUAGACUCUUAACAAUAAAUAAAAAAUGUGAAAAUCAUUGUGUAAAUCAUAAACAUAUUUUUAUCAUCCUAAGUACUUUUGAAAUGUAAAAAAAAAAACUCAAAACAGAUUUUACACUUUACUUGUAGGAGUUCUUUGAAAAAAUGUUACUUCCUCUAAACAUGAUAUGUCGAGAACAAAAUCAUCUGAAUUUAUAGAAAAGGAAAAUGAUUCUGUCAAUAAAUUACAAAAUGAUUAAUACCAGGAAAAUUUCGUUACUGAAUAACAAGUUUUUAUUGUAAAUAGUAAAAUCAUUAUCUCAUGCGGUAAACCGUAUAUAGUAUAAAUUGAUAAAAAUUCAAAUUUCUUUAAAAAUAAAUAUCAACACACACACACAUAUGUUAUAUAUGAACUACGAUCACAUUGUACAUGACAUUGUAUGUUUACUUGACCUUAUAGAAUAUACAUUCAACAAAAUCUCUUUUGAGCAUUUUUAUGAUGACUGGAGUUAUUGCUCAACCCGAGGAAGAAGGUGAUAGAAAUUGUCGAAAAAAAGGACAGAGCUGUCGAAGAAAUAGACAAUGCUGCAGCAAAAGAUGCAAUCGAAGAGUGGUUGCAGAUUCUUGCCGUAAAGAAGGACAGAGUUGCAAAAGAAAUAGACAAUGCUGUAGCAAGCAGUGCAAUCAAAAAAGAGGUGUGUGCAAAUAAACAUCCUCUGAAAAUGAAAAAUAUUACUGAAUGGCAAUAAAAAACGCUGCAAAUUUAAUCUGCAACAACUAUGAAGUCUCAUUGCCAAAAUCUUAUAUAUUUAAUUAUUUCAUCCUAACAGAAUAUGUUGAAUAAUUAAUUUUUUUCUCGAAUAUUUUGUCAAAUUUUCUAAUAUGUUAUGAAUUCUUAGAAAAAAAUAAACAUAUUUUAAAGCAAUAA